rnacentral:SRP_RNA from 2 species
GGUGGGCGGCGUACAGCCAGCUCCCGCUGAACCCCCCCAGGGCGGAAACGCAGCAAGGGUAGGUGGUUGAGCGGUUGGUGCGUCCGUUCACCCCA